rnacentral:rRNA from 2 species
UACAGAGGGUGCGAGCGUUAAUCGGAUUUACUGGGCGUAAAGGGCGCGUAGGCGGUGAGAUGUGUGUGAUGUGAAAGCCCCGGGCUUAACCUGGGAAGUGCAUCGCAAACUGUCUGACUGGAGUAUAUGAGAGGGUGGCGGAAUUUCCGGUGUAGCGGUGAAAUGCGUAGAGAUCGGAAGGAACGUCGAUGGCGAAGGCAGCCACCUGGCAUAAUACUGACGCUGAGGCGCGAAAGCGUGGGGAUCGAACAGG